UCCGGNAAUUAUUGGGCGUAAAGCGCGCGCAGGCGGAUAGNUCAGUCUGUCUUAAAAGUUCGGGGCUUAACCCCGUGAUGGGAUGGAAACUNCCAAUCUAGAGUAUCGGAGAGGAAAGUGGAAUUCNUAGUGUAGCGGUGAAAUGCGUAGAUAUUAGGAAGAACACCAGUGGCGAAGGCGACUUUCUGGACGAAAACUGACGCUGAGGCGCGAAAGCCAGGGGAGCGAACGGGAUUAGAUACCCCGGUAGUCCUGNCCGUAAACGAUGGGUACUAGGUGUAGGAGGUAUCGACCCCUUCUGUGCCGGAGUUAACGCAAUAAGUACCCCGCCUGGGGAGUACGACCGCAAGGUGGAAACUCAAAGGAAUUGACGGGGGCCCGCACAAGCGGUGGAGUAUGUGGUUUAGUUCGACGCAACGCGAUGAACCUUACCAGGUCUUGACAUUGAUGGACAGAACCAGAGAUGGUUCCUCUUCUUCGGAAGCCAGAAAACAGGUGGUGCACGGUUGUCGUCAGCUCGUGUCGUGAGAUGUUGGGUUAAGUCCCGCAACGAGCGCAACCCCUAUCUUAUGUUGCCAGCACGUAAAGGUGGGAACUCACGAGAGACUGCCGCAGACAAUGCGGAGGAAGGCGGGGAUGAUGUCAAAUCAUCAUGCCCCUUAUGACCUGGGCUACACACGUACUACAAUGGGAGUUAAUAGACGGAGGCGAGAUCGCGAGAUGGAGCAAACCCGAGAAACACUCUCUCAGUUCGGAUCGUAGGCUGCAACUCGCCUACGUGAAGUCGGAAUCGCUAGUAAUCGCAGGUCAGCAUACUGCGGUGAAUACGUUCCCGGGCCUUGUACACACCGCCCGUCACACCACGAAAGUCGGAAGUGCCCAAAG
rnacentral:rRNA from 1 species